rnacentral:rRNA from 1 species
CAGUAGCCGCGGUAAUACGUAGGGUGCAAGCGUUAAUAGGAAUUACUGGGCGUAAAGCGUGCGCAGGCGGUUAUAUAAGACAGAUGUGAAAUCCCCGGGCUCAACCUGGGAACUGCAUUUGUGACUGUAUAGCUAGAGUACGGCAGAGGGGGAUGGAAUUCCGCGUGUAGCAGUGAAAUGCGUAGAUAUGCGGAGGAACACCGAUGGCGAAGGCAAUCCCCUGGGCCUGUACUGACGCUCAUGCACGAAAGCGUGGGGAGCAAACAGGAUUAGAGACCCCAGUAGUCCUGUCUCUUAUACC